CCCUUAGAUGUUCUGGGCAGCACGCGCGCUACAAUGGUCUUCGCAAACGGAUGCAUUCUCGAAGGAGAAUGCCAAUCUUGGAAUCUAUGCCUUGGUCGGGACAGUUGCUUGCAAUUUUUCGACUCGAACCAGGAAUUCCUUGUAAUCGUGAUUCAUCACAUCACGAUGAAUACGUCCCUGCCCUUUGUACACACCGCCCGUCGCUCCUACCGAUUGAACGUUCCGAUGAAUACCAUGGAUUGAGAGUCUGAAUGGGUUCGCCUAUUUCUGCUUCUCGAGAAGUGGAGUAAAUCUUAGCGUUUAGAGGAAGGAGAAGUCGUAACA
rnacentral:rRNA from 1 species